UACGUAGGGGGCAAGCGUUGUCCGGAAUCAUUGGGCGUAAAGAGCGUGUAGGCGGCCCGAUAAGUCCGCUGUGAAAGUCCAGGGCUCAACCCUGGGAUGCCGGUGGAUACUGUCGGGCUCGAGUCCGGAAGAGGAGUGUGGAAUUCCUGGUGUAGCGGUGAAAUGCGUAGAGAUGCGGAGGAACACCAGUGGCGAAAGCGACUUUCUGGGACGGUACUGACGCUGAGACGCGAAAGCGUGGGGAGCGAACAGG
rnacentral:rRNA from 1 species